AUGAUAAUGGUGGCGAUUAUGACAGAGAUAUUAGAAGAGUACGCCGCUGUGCUGACAAGAGCAACAGAACGCUUCCUCUCACGAAAUGGUAUGAGUUUUGAAGAUCUAACCAGUAGGAAUUUUUCGUUUUGGUUCUUCAACCUCUUCUUCAGAUUCUACUUCUUUUCUUGUUUACUUUUGA